UUUGAGGAAAAUUUGGCAUUUUCUGAGGAGAUUUCAGUGCGGGGACCCCCAGAGACCCCUCAUCAUUAUUUUUUUGGGGAUAUUUUGAGGCGAUUUGGGCUUUUUUAAGGAGAUCUUGAGGUGAAAACACCACAGAAACCGUGUUUUUGUGAUCUCGGUGAGAUUUUGAGGCAAUUUGUGAGAAUUUUGGGGUUUCAUGAGGAGAAGUUGGGGUAAAAAAUGGCGAUAAACCUUAAUGGCGCUGAUGCUGGAGAACCUCCAGAAGCACUCCACGCCGCACGCCACCUUCCAGCCCAACUCCCAGGUAAAAAACCCCCAAAACCGCCCCAAAAAACA
rnacentral:lncRNA from 1 species